rnacentral:rRNA from 1 species
UGGUGGAGUGAUUUGUCUGCUUAAUUGCGAUAACGAACGAGACCUCAGCCUGCUAAUUAGAAUAAUCAAUUUUAAAUUGAUUAUAGCUUCUUAGAGGGACAGUCGUUGUUCAAACGGAGGAAGAUUGAGGCAAUAAC